ACAAAAAAAAAAACAAAAAAGAAAAAAAAAGCUCAUACCCAAAUUCACAAAACCUAUUUUUUAAACCAAAGCACAUUUUGAAUGAGUAUGGAACCUCAAUGGGCUCAGAAAAAAAGAUACUAAUAUAUUUAUCUCAUUGUUUACAUAAACUUUUACAGUUUCAGACCUCAACAGCUGUAAGGCCAGUCCCAGUGAAGCCCCACUUUCCGCUGGAGACCCUUCUGAGUUGGCUCAUGGGCAGAGGUGCAGGCCUGGAGGCCCAGGCCCCCUGGAUUCACCUGAGCCCUCCUCCCCAGCCCCGGGCCUCUCAAAGCCCAGCUGGCACCAAAGAGCUUGGGCCAGCGCUGAUUGGCCCCCAGGCCUCCUGGCUGGACCUCAGAGAUCCUGGCCAGCUGGCACAGCAGGGGGUGGUCAUCAGCUCUGGCCAUAGGACCCGAGUCUGGGCUUGGGCCCUGGGAUGGAGGGCCCCCACUCUGCCCGUGACCCUCGUGGUAGGUUGAUGUGAGGGUCCCUCUCAAGCCAAAAAGCCAAGACCUUUGCACAGCUCCAUUGACUCCAGUGGGUCCCCACCCCCACCCCUGGCAGUUGGGGCGGGGCUUCCUGGGCUGGUCCUUACCAACACAGACGGUGCAAACACUCUGAACAGUGUUGUUUUUGUAUCAAUAUGUUUGUGCAGUGAUGAAUGUAUUUAUUUCUCAGACUUGGGGCGAGCGAGCGGCCGGCUCCGCCACCGCUCGCUCCCACCAGACCGAGCCAUUGCAAGGGCUCCUCCAGGAUUGCAAAAAAGGUAAAAAAGAAAAGAUGAACCUUUAAGCAAAUAAGAAUCUCAGAGACUCGCAGCAUAGCCAUACACCUCAGCCUGUGAAAUGAACAGUUUGGACCCAGACUGACUUGAAGCCUCACGCAGCCAUGUGUGUAUUUCCCGUUCUUCACCACUCGGGGGCGCUGGGCUGCCCCGCUGUGCCCCAACCCCUUCAGUAUUUACUGGACUGGGCCGCGCGUGCAGGAGUGCGAUCUGGGCGGGGCUGGCUGGGCAGGCAGAUCCUACCGCCCUCUGCACGGCGGUCCUGAGUGGGAGAGGCCUGGGCAGCCAGGAGGGCAGGGCUCAGGGAAGAGGGGGGCUGCAUCCGUCCUCCCCCUAGGCUUGGGGGACGAAAGCAGAGGCACCGGGCCUCCAGAGAAUAGACCAGGGAUCUCAGUCCUGCUGUACCCCUCGAAGGGACCAAGGCCCUUGCUCUUCGCCAGAGUCACGUUGGGGCAGACAUUACUGAACCUGUGAACUGAUGCCAGGAGUGCUAGGAUGGAGAGGGACCUACUCAGCCUCAGUGUGACAUUCCAGAUCAGGGGGUGGAGUAGGAACCGGAAGCGGGAUCACGUCCUACUCUUCCCUUCCCGGAACGGGGAGGGACACCGUGAUCGCACUCCUGUACUGGCCACCGCCGCUGUCCGUCUUCACAUCGAGUUCACUUCAUUUGAGAGUUUGGAUAAAUUCAGGUCAGAGCUGCAGGUAUGGCAGCCCACAAGUGUCAUAGAAAAAGCAAUUCACCGACGACUGAUCUCUCCAUUCAGAAGCGUGCAGUCUUAAUGUACAGUGAUGAGAAACUGUUAUUUUAUGAUCUUUUCAUUAAAAGCUUGAUUGAAAACUA